UACGUAGGGAGCAAGCGUUGUCCGGAAUCAUUGGGCGUAAAGCGCGCGUAGGUGGCCUCAUAAGUCCGUUGUGAAAGUCAAAGGCUCAACCUUUGAAAGCCGAUGGAUACUGUGAGACUAGAGUACGGAAGAGGCGAGUGGAAUUCCUGGUGUAGCGGUGGAAUGCGCAGAUAUCAGGAGGAACACCAAUAGCGAAGGCAGCUCGCUGGGACGUUACUGACACUGGAGGCGCGAAAGCGUGGGGAGCGAACAGG
rnacentral:rRNA from 1 species